rnacentral:lncRNA from 1 species
GCAUGAACAAAAGAGGAGAUCAUUCUCUUCUUAGGUGAGAGACCUAGAACUGUUCUAGAUUUUUGGAUGAAGAAAAAAUCAAAGAGAAGAGAUCUUCAUCUAAUUUUUUUCCACCAUCCAGCAUCCUUCUCUAAUCUAUCUUCAAUAUCAGAAAGGUUGAAGGUGAUCGAAGAAGGAGAUCAAGUCAGAUCUGUCGUCAGAAGCCAACUGCACGAGCUAGCACUCCUGC